AAACUAUUUAGCUCAUAAGAUGAAGAGACUGUGUUAAAAAGGAAACAGAAAAGUGAUGGGAUACCUUGCUGGCACCUUUCCAGAUACUGCCAGGGCAAAGGUAUACCUGUUCAAAGAAGAGAGAGACACCAGAGAAGAAGAAAAGCAAAAGUGAAAGAGCAUUUCCUAAUAUCCAGAGUGAAGCUAGUCCGGGCUUCACAUUCAUGGCUUUCAAAGGUUGCAACCUCAAAUUAGUAGGAACGGCCUCCACACCUGUGUUCCUUCACCAAAUGGAGAACUUCAAAAUCACCUGAAAGAAAUGGAAAAGAAUGUAUUCGCAAGAUCAGGGGACACAUUUCAUGUUCCGUGGCAGCAUGAACCUGUUCUAGCAAAGAUACCACAUCUGGCACAACAGCUGCAAUCGAAACAAGUACUUGUUCAAGUUUAUGAGAGUCCACUGUCACCCUCCAAGACCUGUCUGCUUUUCCAGUGCAAUCGUGGUGUGUUAAAUGGUAGAUUAACAGGAUCAGCCCUGGCCGGGCGCAGUGGCUCAUGCCUGUAAUCCCAGCACUUUGGGCGGCCAAGGC